GAAGGUAAAGCUCAUAUGGUAGAGCGUUUGUUUUGUAUGUGAGAGGUACGGGGCUCGAUUCCCCGCACCUCCA
rnacentral:tRNA from 1 species